UUUUGUUAGCUUCAACUUGUGCAAUUGUGCAAUAAUGAAGCGUUAUGAUUGUUGUGGAGACAUUUAUAUUUUUAUGUUUGAAUUGCAUAGUUUAAAGGAUUGUUUGUUUUGUUGUUUUAAACUUCAUGAUUGAACUGUGCAGUUUUGCAUAGGUACAAGAUAUUAAGUUGAAGGCAUCAUCACCCUGAUUUGUAUAGUGUCAUGAGUUGUACUUCAGAAGCACUUCUUCAAGUUCUUCCUGGGGCAGGAAUUCGCUUUUUCCAUAAGGAUUUAUGCUAUGUCAAGCACAAUUUGUUGCUUUCGGACAAAUACCGAGGAGAAAGAGGAUGCAGGUCUACCCUGUUCAAGAAUUUGAGGAUUCAAAAUUGCAGUAGGAUUUAUGCAAGUUGCAGUGUAGAUAGUAUUAAUCUUAGGAAGAAACGAAAUGAAAGUUUGGAUGGUUUGACUUGCAAAUGCCAAGGGGCACAAAAUGUUGGUGAGGCAACUGCUGAGAAAGGAAAUAUAACAUGGAUAAAUAGCGUGCUGAAUGAUUUGGAUGGUCCAAAAUUUGACGUGGCUCAAUAAUUGAAAAACCUAACAAAAAGUACGAAAUUCAAAAUAUAAAGAAAUGGUUUACCGAUCGAGAAGAAUCGAUUUGGGGUUGGCUUAUUUCUAGGGCUUGGUUCUUCUGCUCCCUUCGUUCAAUAAGACUUCUGCUGAAUCGAUUUGAGAAAUUGAGAGGAAAUUUCUUCGUUCUUCUGCUGCUUCUUCGUUCUUCUGCUAUCUAGGGCUUGGUUUUUUCAAUUUCUAUCGAGGAGAGAGGACUGAGGAGCUUAAAAGAAAACACAGGAGUUAGCUUUUAAAAAAAACAUGGGAGGCUUAUUAAAUAGUUCUGUU
rnacentral:lncRNA from 1 species